CGUGUAGGCGGCCCGGUAAGUCCGUUGUAAAAGUCGAAGGCUCAACCUUCGAAUGCCGAUGGAUACUGCCGGGCUAGAGUCCGGAAGAGGCGAGUGGAAUUCCUGGUGUAGCGGUGGAAUGCGCAGAUAUCAGGAGGAACACCGAUAGCGAAGGCAGCUCGCUGGGACGGUACUGACGCUAAGACGCGAAAGCGUGGGGAGCGAACA
rnacentral:rRNA from 1 species